UGAAAGUAUCCGUCAUAACAUUCAUUAAUGGCAUCUACUAUGUCUUGCCCAGAGAUACUUUGGAACUCCUGGAAAACUUGGGGGGAGGGGGUGGAAAAAAAAAUCUUGUUUUAUUCUAGGUCAUUAAUAAUGAUCAACUUGCUUUUUGUGUUUUUUUCCUUGCUUCUCCCCAGUACUAUAACUAUUGAGUUUAUUUUUUACCUGUAUUAUUCUCAGUGUUUCAAUAUGUUUAUACUGCCCAGGUCAAACAACCUAAAUGAGUAGCCUGAAACUUGGCUUCUGGGACAUUCUCCCCCUGGGCUCCUCAGCCUAGAAUAUAAAAUGAAUGCAUGCCACAUAUCUAGCAACAUCUGUUUAGGACACUUGUAAGAACGUCCUGCUAGUAAGACAACUUCCUUGCGUGGCUUGGUUAAAACUGGCAAGACUCAUGGAUUGUGGCAAGGAGCCAGGACUCGUGUGACGCGCACACUCGCUGCAAGAUACAGAUACGCAGACACACAUGUAUCCAGGCUGCGCUGUGCUUUCUCCAUUACAGAAAGAGGGAAAUUCUUUUUCUGCUGACUACAGAACAUAUGGAGAAUGACAGUACAGGCAGGGCCCUCAGAUCUCAGGAAGAGAGCAGAACAUAGAGCAGACAGCUGAACUGCUGGAUUACCCAUCCACAACUGCUGCUGACUCCUGUUGCAGAGAAUCAUUUGCAGCAUGUUUUUGUGUUCGCCUGUCUUCUGCUGACAUGCUUCCCAUAGAAUCUAAUAUAGCAGAAAAAAUGAAAAAAAACCAGAAAAAGCAAAAUAUUUAACUGUAACCUGGGAAGGUUCUACAAGGACCUGGCUCUGGGGCUGGCACAUCCAUCUGGCCCUGCUGGGAGCCCUCAGCCACUGUCCCCACUGGCCUGCCCACCCACCACAUUGCUUCAGCCUUUUGUAUGUAGGUAUGGGAGAGGAUGUGGGAAGGGAACCAGUGUGUACUGAGGAGUCAUUUUUGUAGUUCUCUUCCUCUGUGUGUGCUAAUACCUCCAGAACACACAUAGUACAACUGCUACUCUGCACUUGGUAAAAAAGCUUACGCAUUAGGUAGGCUUCUUUCAUCUGGAAGAUCUCCAUAUUUGAUCUUGAGGCUAAUAUGUCAAUUAGACAUUUUUCUUCUGUGUCUACUCCCUGUAUGGAAAGAAGUAAAUAUGAAAAGAUGUUGUGUAGUAGAAACCCCAAUUUUUAGAAGAAAGCAAUGCUGUCCUUAUCAGAAAUAACAAAAUAAUAGCAGUUUCUGUAUAAUCUACCUGUUCAAAUUACUUCAAUAGUAAACCCCUGUAUUUCAAGUAUAUUUCUAAAUUUGAAUUUCAGCUUGUACCUUAGCAAGGGGGAAAUGAAGCAAGACUAGUGUUGACAGAAACCCAAGGGGAAUAAUUUUAGAACUUUAUUAAGAAUUAUUGUUUGCUGAAAGAAAUCAGAUGCAAAGAUUGAGCAUACAUCCCUAGCAAGUGUUCAGGAAAUCUGAAGUAGACAUGAGCAUAGGUAUUAUGUUGAUCUUCUCUUGUUUUAUCAUCUUCUUUUCCUUUUUUUUUUUUAAUAAUUUUUUUAGGAAUGCUAGUCUGUAAUAGAACUAGAAUAGAAUAGAUAUUAUUUAUGCUGAUUUUAGCACACUGAUGGAUAAACUUGAAAUAGCACUGUAUUUCUGAUGACUAGUGGACUAAGUGAUAGUACACUACUCCAGUGUACUGACUUUCAGUAGUUUAUCAACCAAUGAAAUGUAAAAAAAAAUUUGUGUAUGUUCAGUACUCUAAUUAAUGACUGCUACUCUAAGCAACUCAGAAUAUGAAGAUUACCUUCAAGGCAUGCCAAAGCUCAUGGGCAUCAUAGGAUGCAGGUGGAUACAUCAAGCCAACCAUAACUUCUUUAAAGUGAUGAGAGAGAUUCUCUUUCAGGUCUGUUAUCAGAUCCUUGAAGAGAAAAAGCAAGUGCACAGACCGGAUUAUCUGUAUAGUCAUGUUUUACUGAGACAGCUUAAAAAUUAUUAGUGUUUUUCCCUGUAAAUGAUUUAGGAUGAACUGUCAAAGAUGAAUUCUGGCUAAGAUUAAGUAAAGGGAAAAAAAUAAUUAAAAUAGUACAUCUUGUUCUACUAGUAUGAGCAAGAUGAGAAUAGAUGCACAAGCCAGUAGACCACAAUGGAUUGUUGAUUUUCAGUUCUUUAGAACAGAGAAGAAAAAUGCAGAUGUUUAAGUGCAACUACUACUUAAAAUCUUGGAAAAUUGAAUAUCACAGCAGAGCAUCUGCAGCUUCCAUUAACCUAUUCCCAGUGCAAAUCUGAGACAGGUAAGCACCUUUGGAAGAUCAAGUUCAUAAAACAUGGGUGAUUUUUUUUGAUUUUUUUCAGUGUUACCACAUGAAUAAUUUAAGAAAAAUCAUCUGUAUUGCUCCUAGUAAAUAAAAAUAUCAGCUUUGGAUAUCUGUAAGGCUAUGUGCUUCAGUUCAUGUUAUAUUUUACAUUCAAACUGAAUUCACUACUCUUGAUAGAUGCUGGGUUAAUAACAUGGAACCCCCUUUUUCCUCCUUAUAUUUCUCAGUUCUUUCUUGCCAGGUAGCUGAGUAAUGAAUCACAGUUUCUUCCCCAUUCUUCCCAUUCCUACUAGCAUUCUUCCAAAUGCUGCACAUGCCAAAAGCUUGUGAACUUAUUACUAGUAGUAAGUUCAAAAACUACUAGUUUUUGAUUGAGAAUACUUGUGCAUUUUUAAAAAAUAUUUUGUGUGCAGCACUAGACAUCUGUAAGGUGUUCUAGUCUGACUGAAUUGAAAAGCAUGCCAGAAACAGUUCCCAUUAUAUAAACUAGUAUGUUUCCAGGGCUGUAUUUUUUUCAGGCCUGUACUUUGGUUUUAAUACAUUUCUGAAUAUAAUUUAGUGGCUAGAGUUGCAAUGGAGAAAGACAUGCAUAUUAAAAAUUAAAGUUAUGAUGAAGAAACAUACAGAGUCUUUGGUGAAUGCACUUUAGAUUCAUUUGACAGCCACUAAAUCACACAUGGAGUAGAAAUUAAUUCAUUAAGACAUUUUACUUCUGACAACAUGCCUGUGGGAAAAUGGAUUAAUAAUUCAAAUGGGUACUACUUAAAAAUUAUUCCUGCAAUCAGGACCAAGGGAAGUAUUGGAAAUAAGAAAAGACAACUCUAACUUGUCAUUAUUUUAAUUUCCUACUCAUCUUUGCUGUAAGAAAUCCUCUGAGGCUACUUGUAAGAAGGAAUCUUAAAACUUCUCUGAAUCAUGCAGCUAGUUCAGGUCUCUUUUUAAUUUUUUAAUAUUUCUCUCCUAAUGUCUCAGUUUACAUUUGUCUAAUGAAAGGGCAUAGUGGCUACCAUAUUGAGCAGACUGAAGUGAAAUAAAGAGGGAGAAGGAUUGGACUAACAGGUUUACCAUAAAUUGAACUGAUAAGGUUAAAAUGGCUAUUGCCUUGCCACAUCUCUUUCCUGUCUUGUGAUGUUUACCACUCAUAAACUGGGAUUGCCAGAUGGCGCAUUUGUUCAAUGCACCCUAACCAGUGGGAUAAAUUGCAGGCAAGGAGGUGUGAUGUGUGGUAAAUUGUUUCAAAGAACAA